rnacentral:rRNA from 1 species
UUGAAUUUCGGGGUUAGUAGGUUGGUCGUGCCUCUCGGUAUGGUACUGGUCUCGACUGAUUCCUUUCCUCGUACUGAGCGUAAUGCCAUAAUUUAGUGUGUCGGGGAAUUUGGACUGUUACUUUGAAAAAAUUAGAGUGUUUAAAGCAAGCUAACGCUUGAAUACAUUAGCAUGGAAUAAUGAAAUAGGACGUUCGAUCCUAUUUUGUUGGUUUCUAGGAUUGACGUAAUGAUUAAUAGGGAUAGUUGGGGGCAUUAGUAUUCAAUUGUCAGAGGUGAAAUUCUUGGAUUUAUUGAAGACUAACUACUGCGAAAGCAUUUGCCAAGGAUGUUUUCAUUAAUCAAGAACGAAAGUUAGGGGAUCGAAGACGAUCAGAUACCGUCGUAGUCUUAACCAUAAACUAUGCCGACUAGGGAUCGGAUGAUGUUAAUUUUUAAUGACUC